rnacentral:rRNA from 1 species
CGGGGUGAGUAACACGUGAGCAACCUGCCUUUCAGUGGGGGACAACAGUUGGAAACGACUGCUAAUACCGCAUAACGUGCCGGAAGGGCAUCCUUUUGGUACCAAAGAUUUAUCGCUGAAAGAUGGGCUCGCGUCUGAUUAGAUAGUUGGUGAGGUAACGGCCCACCAAGUCGACGAUCAGUAGCCGGACUGAGAGGUUGAUCGGCCACAUUGGGACUGAGACACGGCCCAGACUCCUACGGGAGGCAGCAG